CCAGACUCCUACGGGAGGCAGCAGUGGGGAAUAUUGGGCAAUGGGCGCAAGCCUGACCCAGCGACGCCGCGUGAGGGAAGACGGUCUUCGGAUUGUAAACCUCUUUCAGCAGGGAAGACAAAAGGAUGGUACCUGCAGAAGAAGCCACGGCUAACUACGUGCCAGCAGCCGCGGUAAUACGUAGGUGGCAAGCGUUAUCCGGAAUUACUGGGUGUAAAGGGAGCGUAGGCGGGAUUGCAAGUUGGAUGUGAAAACUGCGGGCUCAACCCGGAGCGUGCAUUCAAAACUGCGAUUCUUGAGUGAAGUAGAGGCAAGCGGAAUUCCUAGUGUAGCGGUGAAAUGCGUAGAUAUUAGGAGGAACACCAGUGGCGAAGGCGGCUUGCUGGGCUUUUACUGACGCUGAGGCUCGAAAGUGUG
rnacentral:rRNA from 1 species